UGGGGAAUUUUGGACAAUGGGCGAAAGCCUGAUCCAGCAAUGCCGCGUGUGUGAAGAAGGCCUUCGGGUUGUAAAGCACUUUUGUCCGGAAAGAAAUCCUUGGCUCUAAUACAGUCGGGGGAUGACGGUACCGGAAGAAUAAGCACCGGCUAACUACGUGCCAGCAGCCGCGGUAAUACGUAGGGUGCAAGCGUUAAUCGGAAUUACUGGGCGUAAAGCGUGCGCAGGCGGUUUGCUAAGACCGAUGUGAAAUCCCCGGGCUCAACCUGGGAACUGCAUUGGUGACUGGCAGGCUAGAGUAUGGCAGAGGGGGUAGAAUUCCACGUGUAGCAGUGAAAUGCGUAGAGAUGUGGAGGAAUACCGAUGGCGAAGGCAGCCCCUGGGCCAAUACUGACGCUCAUGCACGAAAGCGUGGGGAGCAAACAGGAUUAGAUACCCUGGUAGUCCACGCCCUAAACGAUGUCAACUAGUUGUUGGGGAUUCAUUUCCUUAGUAACGUAGCUAACGCGUGAAGUUGACCGCCUGGGGAGUACGGUCGCAAGAUUAAAACUUAAAUGAAUUGACGGGG
rnacentral:rRNA from 1 species